rnacentral:rRNA from 1 species
AUGAACGCUAGCGGCAGGCCUAACACAUGCAAGUCGAGGGAGAAGCCCUUUCGGGGGCAGAAACCGGCGCACGGGUGCGUCACGCGUAUGCAACCUACCUUUCACAGGGGGAUAGCCCGAAGAAAUUUGGAUUAAUACCCCAUAAUAUUAUUGGAUGGCAUCAUUUGAUAAUUAAAACUGCGGUGGUGAAAGAUGGGCAUGCGUCCUAUUAGCUAGUUGGAGUGGUAACGGCACCCCAAGGCUACGAUAGGUAGGGGUCCUGAGAGGGAGAUCCCCCACACUGGUACUGAGACAGGGACCAGACUCCUACGGGAGGCAGCAGUGAGGAAUAUUGGUCAAUGGUCGGAAGACUGAACCAGCCAUGCCGCGUGCAGGAAGAAUGCCUUAUGGGUUGUAAACUGCUUUUAUAUGGGAAGAAUAAGGCGUACGUGUACGUUGAUGACGGUACCAUAUGAAUAAGCAUCGGCUAACUCCGUG